rnacentral:tmRNA from 1 species
GGGGCCGAUUGGUUUCGACCGGGCAGGGAAGGCCUGUCGUUGCAUGUCGUGGAGCAUCCGGGCCACGUAAAAAGGAUGCAAACCUUUAACUGCCAACACGCAGUACGCACUCGCGGCCUGAUUUAGGCCCCGACGGGUCGCGCUCGACGCCCGAUAGGGCGCGCCCCGCUGACAUCGGGCUGGUUCCAAGGCGCUGACAUUCCUCCUUGGAAUGAGACAACUGUCUGUCAUGGCUUCUUCGCAUGGUGGGUCACCGAGCGGUGAUGAGGCCGAGAUUCAACUGGUGACUAUGCAUGUAGACGCGGCUUGCUGACUGUUUCGGCACGGGGGUUCGAAUCCCCCCGGCUCCACU